CCGCAAUCUAAAAAUCUCAAAUCGCUCUAUACCCUCACUCCGAUAGACCUAACCCCCACCCUAUCUCUCACUGUAGAAAACUCCAGAAAUUAAAAAUAUUCUCUCUAAAUAAACUUUCUCUCUACGCACAUAUAUUGACACAAAUAACUUUACAGUUGGUGGUAGUGGUGGUGGAGAGGUGGCACUAUAUUUAGAAAAUAGAUCUGUGUGGUAGGGUGAUCGCACAUUGCAGGUUAUGAUGGUGGAUUGCAAUUGAUUGUUUUAUGAUGGUGAUGGUGAGUUGACGAGAUUUGUGACUAAUUGUGUUAUAUGUGACCAGAUUUAUAGUUUGUGACCAUACCUGUCUUAUCUGUGACUAAUUGUGACCAAACCGUCUAUGACCAAUCAUGUGUCAUUUGUAACUGUAUGUGAACAAAUCAUUGACAUAUGUUAUCUAUGACUAAUUGUGACCAAAUUUUUAUUUAGUGUGAUUAUCUAUGACCAUAUUAGUCCAAAUUGUGACUCUCUGUUAAUCUGGUUACAAACGGUCACAAUAAAAACAAAAUUGGUCACAUCCGAUCACAAUAAACACAUUAUAGAUCACAGAAGGUCAACACAAACAAAUUUGCAACAUCAAAGACCAACACCACAAUGCACCACAACAACACCUUCAACGCAAGUCUACAUUCACCUCAAAUCCACAACAACAAUCACUACCACCAUCACUUGCACCAAUACCUUCAAUAAACACUAACCACCACCAGCAGCAUCACAGCACCUAUAGAACCAACAACAACAAAACCACCCCACAGAUUAGAAAAUCACCAAUAGUAUCACCACCACCAACAAAUCACCACUUUCUAAACACCCCCAAAUUGGAUCAGAAAAUCACCAACUUUAGAUAGAACAAAUUUCAAGUACCAAUUUUAUGUAGUAAAAUCAUCAAUUAAUGAAGAAUUUGAUUCCUAAGACACUUUGUAUCCAGGCCACAGAAAAUAACACCAAAACAAAAACACCAUCGACUAAACCUUCAACUCCUGAUAUUAGAAUUUCUGAAUGAUCUUCACCAAGUUCAAGCAAAAGAGCUUAUCAAACCCAUUCCAUCAUCAGAUAAUUUCCCAUUCAUCUCAGGCCAAACAAGUUGCAACAAAUUCCAAAUAAUAGAUAAACUCCAUUAGAUCUGCUCUAGAUUCAACAAAUGGCCCUAGAUUCGUCUAAAUCCAUGCGGCGAUCACUUUUUUCCUUAUAUAGCUUCAGGUAGCCAAUGAUGGGCCCUUCUGGUUUGGUUCACCACUACGAUGUGGUCGUCGAUGCAGCUAAAACCAUUUGUUUCGGGAUGAUUAACCGUUUGUUUCGCGAUCAUCUAUGUCUCCUCGACAUCACCACCGUCACCCUCACUGGAAAUCUCUUCCUUUCGUCUUAGUCACAGGGAAGGUACAGAAAAAUCUAAGUCUAGCGGGGAAGAGCUCUGUCGGUAGCACAAAGGUUGUUGAGUUGGGGCCUAAGUCAGGGAAGAUAAAUGCCAGCCUGUAAAGAACCGCAAAAUCCCAUCCUUUUCAUUUUUGGAGUAAUCUUAUUUGGGAUAGAGAAAAGUUUGGGCAACUGGAGAUGCUAAAAAUGAAAUUGAUUUUGGGGGUGGGUUGGGGUUUGGAAGACAGUGAACAUGUAGAUUAUGCGUAAUUAAAAUUUUAUUAAUUAUAAUUAUUAAAAUCUAAUUAUCACCUGAUUUGUGAAAUGAAAAUUUAUUCCCUUGUUUUUUG
rnacentral:lncRNA from 1 species